AGUGAACGCUGGCGGUAGGCCUAACACAUGCAAGUCGAACGGCAGCACAGUAAGAGCUUGCUCUUACGGGUGGCGAGUGGCGGACGGGUGAGGAAUACAUCGGAAUCUACUUUUUCGUGGGGGAUAACGUAGGGAAACUUACGCUAAUACAGCAUACGACCUACGGGUGAAAGCAGGGGAUCUUCGGACCUUGCGCGAUUGAAUGAGCCGAUGUCGGAUUAGCUAGUUGGCUGGGUAAAGGCCCACCAAGGCGACGAUCCGUAGCUGGUCUGAGAGGAUGAUCAGCCACACGGGAACUGAGACACGGUCCAGACUCCUACGGGAGGCAGCAGUGGGGAAUAUUGGACAAUGGGCGCAAGCCUGAUCCAGCCAUACCGCGUGGGUGAAGAAGGCCUUCGGGUUGUAAAGCCCUUUUGUUGGGAAAGAAAAGCAGCAGGGUAAUACCCCGCUGUUCUGACGGUACCCAAAGAAUAAGCAACGGCUAACUUCGUG
rnacentral:rRNA from 1 species